GACUCUCGGCAACGGAUAUCUUGGUCCUCGCAUCGAUGAAGAACGUAGCGAAAUGCGAU
rnacentral:rRNA from 1 species